UGCAAGUCGAACGGUAACAUUUCUAGCUUGCUAGAAGAUGACGAGUGGCGGACGGGUGAGUAAUGCUUGGGAACUUGCCUUUGCGAGGGGGAUAACAGUUGGAAACGACUGCUAAUACCGCAUAAUGUCUUCGGACCAAACGGGCCUUCGGCUCCGGCGCAAAGAGAGGCCCAAGUGAGAUUAGCUAGUUGGUAAGGUAACGGCUUACCAAGGCGACGAUCUCUAGCUGUUCUGAGAGGAAGAUCAGCCACACUGGGACUGAGACACGGCCCAGACUCCUACGGGAGGCAGCAGUGGGGAAUAUUGCACAAUGGGGGAAACCCUGAUGCAGCCAUGCCGCGUGUGUGAAGAAGGCCUUCGGGUUGUAAAGCACUUUCAGUUGUGAGGAAAAGUUAGUAGUUAAUACCUGCUAGCCGUGACGUUAACAACAGAAGAAGCACCGGCUAACUCCGUGCCAGCAGCCGCGGUAAUACGGAGGGUGCGAGCGUCAAUCGGAAUUACUGGGCGUAAAGCGCACGCAGGCGGUUUGUUAAGCUAUAUGUGAAAGCCCCG
rnacentral:rRNA from 1 species